UACGUAGGGGGCUAGCGUUGUCCGGAAUCAUUGGGCGUAAAGCGCGUGUAGGCGGUCCGGUAAGUCCGCUGUGAAAGUCGGGGGCUCAACCCUCGGAUGCCGGUGGAUACUGUCGGGCUUGAGUACGGAAGAGGCGAGUGGAAUUCCUGGUGUAGCGGUGAAAUGCGCAGAUAUCAGGAGGAACACCAAUUGCGAAGGCAGCUCGCUGGGACGUUACUGACGCUCAUGUGCGAAAGCGUGGGGAGCAAACAGG
rnacentral:rRNA from 1 species